rnacentral:rRNA from 1 species
UACGAAGGGGGCUAGCGUUGCUCGGAAUCACUGGGCGUAAAGCGCACGUAGGCGGCCAUCUAAGUCAGACGUGAAAUCCCCCGGCUUAACCUGGGAACUGCGUCUGAUACUGGAAGGCUUGAGUAUGGGAGAGGGAUGUAGAAUUCCAGGUGUAGCGGUGAAAUGCGUAGAUAUCUGGAGGAACACCGGUGGCGAAGGCGGCAUCCUGGACCGGUAUUGACGCUGAGGCGCGAAAGCCAGGGGAGCAAACGGG